GGUGCAUGCACAGCAGGUGACCGACUGUUGAGCCGUCCACCGCACAGCAGGUGAUGUCUAGCAGUCCACCUCGCCUGCAUCUUGGGGAAGAACUAGAGCCAAGGUGGGAGAAGGCUGAACUUGAGGGAAGGACAAGGAACUAGAUUCAACAAACUACUCUGAUCCAACCAGGACUACUAUGUCCAGGUGGAGUCCCUUUGCUGCGAAUCUGAUGGUGGUCUUGUCUACAACUGCACUGUUUUAACAGCACAAUAUGGAGCCUGCAAGGAACUCUCACAGAAGGAGACAGGAGUGCCUGGAGUGCGGAUAUCAGUGUGGCUAUGCCUGGAUUUUACACAGGUUCUGAGAUCUCAAUAUUAAUAUCCAUAGCUGGGGCUUCCGUAUCACAGCCAGUCUCCCAGGAGAUGAGACACCAUUGAGCUAGGAGGUCUGGGUUGGAGCAGAGAGACCAAGAGAUUCUGUGGUGGUGCCUCCUUUCUUCCUCGCAGGAGGGAAGGGUUUAGACGCACUUUAAAAGGGAACACUUCGUGCUCCUUUCUCCAACCUGACCUUGAUGCUGAAAUUGCUUGGCUAAAGCAUUCAGACCCUCCAC